rnacentral:rRNA from 1 species
AACGAACGCUGGCGGCAUGCCUAACACAUGCAAGUCGAACGAUGCCUUCGGGCAUAGUGGCGCACGGGUGCGUAACGCGUGGGAAUCUGCCCUUGGCUUCGGAAUAACAGUUAGAAAUGACUGCUAAUACCGGAUGAUGUCCCCCUGAGAGAUCUUGGGGACCAAAGAUUUAUCGGCCAGGGAUGAGCCCGCGUAGGAUUAGGUAGUUGGUGGGGUAAAGGCCUACCAAGCCGACGAUCCUUAGCUGGUCUGAGAGGAUGAUCAGCCACACUGGGACUGAGACACGGCCCAGACUCCUACGGGAGGCAGCAGUGGGGAAUAUUGGACAAUGGGGGGAACCCUGAUCCAGCAAUGCCGCGUGAGUGAUGAAGGCCUUAGGGUUGUAAAGCUCUUUUACCAGGGAUGAUAAUGACAGUACCUGGAGAAUAAGCUCCGGCCAACUCCGUG